UACGAACUGUGCAAACGUUAUUCGGAAUCACUGGGCUUAAAGGGUGCGUAGGCGGCUUAUCAAGUAGGGUGUGAAAGCCCCCGGCUUAACCGGGGAAUUGCGCCCUAAACUGACGAGCUGGAGUGGGACAGGGGUGUGUGGAACUUCCGGUGGAGCGGUGAAAUGUGUUGAUACCGGAAGGAACGCCGGUGGCGAAAGCGACACACUGGGUCUCAACUGACACUGAGGGACGAAAGCUAGGGGAGCGAAUGGG
rnacentral:rRNA from 1 species